UGUAGACAUCAUGAGAGGUUCUAUACAAGAGCUAAAGAAAAUGAUGUUCGAACUCAUGAAAUCCUUGAACUCUUUUAUUCAUCAGUUUGAGCAACUAUAAUGCCUGGUGGAUCUCAAGGACAAGUACAGCCCUGCCCCCGUUCUCAAGACUUGGAGCUGGAAGAACUCCACCCACUUUCUCUGGUGCAGGGCAGUUGGGCACCGUUAUGAUCCUUGGAAGCAUGAUCCUGUCCAGCACCAUGAUGGAUGGAGCAGGACUGGAGAAUCACACAUGAUGCAGGACAGAUGGGCAGUAUUCUGUAAAACCACCUUCUUGAUUCUUCUUGGGUCAUUGGGUCGCAUGCUUGCCUUACAUGUAUGAGAUCCUGGAUUCAAUCUCCAGCACAGCCUAAAGAGGGAAUGAUGGUUCUCUUCCUGAUGAUACCUGCACUAGCAUAUGGAAGAUGGAGGCAGGAAUAUCAGAAGUCCAAGGACAUACUCAGCUGCAGGCUAAAUUCAAGGCAGCAUGAGCUACAUGAGAAACCAUGGAAAACAAAGAAGUACAAGUCAACAAAACAAACUGUCUCCUAGAAUCCUUGAGGCUGUUAUGUAAACACCAUGCCAAAUGCACAAACAUAGCCCUGGACUUCAACAUCAAAAGGCUGAAAAUUUCUCACCAUCUGAAUUCCAUGUCAAAGCUUCUCCUACUUUGCUGUCACCAGCUGCCUGAAGGUCCCACAGUGGCCCGAUUUGCAACUGUUUUUGUUGUGUUACUAUAAAAACUUCACAACUCUGUUACCAUGUUACAACAUGGUGUUUGGGUAACACAAGUCUGUGUUUCUAGGACAGGGUCACUCAUAUUUUCCUUCCAAGUGAGAUCCUUACUGUCUUUGAUGUGAGAGCUGGAUGUUUUGUGUUGGAAGCAUCAUUGCCAUGCUCACUUCUAAGAUGAUAGGUGGUGACAUCAUGAGCCAGUGUCUGUGUGAUGCACUCACUAUCUCCCCAGCCUCUACUCCAUAAAUUGUUUUAAAUAAUAAAAAUGCUUGGUAAUCCACUUAGAUUAAGGGUACUCACCCUGAAGGGCAUUAGGAAUCUCUCACUUCAGUGGGUUUUCCAUGAAUUUGAUCACAUAAUAAAAAUAUGUCACUCUGCAUAUCUUUACAGCUUUUGUGGGUGGCCAGUUUUGAAGUAGACUUUUCUGCUCACUCAGCCUGAAUGAAAUCUGUGAAUAUAAAAAACAAGCUAUUUUAAAGGUUAUAUGGUCCUAUCUAAAUACCAUAUCAUAAUGCUCUUUUUUAGCUUAUAAGAGUGGCGAAAGUGUAGAGAUUUUAAAAGAAACUGAAGAAAUAAAACACCAUAUGUGAAUAGAUAUCAACAAGAAGAGGUUGAAUUUCUGAUAGGUCAUUCAGUCCAAAAGCCCAUUUUUAAUAUGUACUUUAGUAUUUUUAUUGUUGUUUUGUGUGUUCAGACAUAUGUGUACAGAUGUGCAUGUAGUGUCUGUGUGUUGAUCUGAGGACAACUUCAUGGUGUCAAUUUUUUCCUUCUACAUUCAUGUGAGUUUUAUGAAUGGGACUCUGAUUGACAGAUUUGAAUGCAGCAGGCAUCCUUACCUGCUGAGCUGCCUUGUGAGCUGCAUCUUUAAUGCUAUUAGCAGAAGUUUAUACACAGUGCUGCAUCAGAUGGGAAAGGUGAAAUGGCUGCCCACCUGUCAUGAGAACAAUUGAUACAAGGACUGUAUGUUCACUCAAAUGACUAACAGGGCCUCGUGGAACAGUCCGGCCUGGAACUCAUUGCACAGUGGAGAAUAAUUGGGAACUCCUGACCCUGUGUUGCCGCCUGCAGUUCUUCGGGUUUGGAGGUCCACUGCACAGCACUGGGCCAAAAUCUGCAGUGUAAAAGCAAACAUAAAGAAUGAGCAGGAAGCUGAGCUGCAGCCUUUGUUUGCAAUAGUUUUCACCCUUCCUGAUGCUGUGACCCUUUAAUACAGUUCCUCAUGUG